rnacentral:misc_RNA from 1 species
UCGGAAUUGAAUUGGCGAUUCUCAUUCCAAAAUCAAAUGCCAUGGUGUAACAGCAGAAAGCGUUUCUUAAUUCUGCAUAUACGUAAUAUAAUAAGCCAUACAAGAUGCUACAACUAAGGAAACAUCUCACAAUUAAACCAUAUGUAUACAUUCGAAAAGUUAGCUUCAAACAUAUUCAUCACACAGUCGGCUCUCCUACAUUAGUACCUAACAUUGGGUCAGUGACAGCACCAGAUGCUCUCAAAUUACAAAGUAAAGCAU